rnacentral:rRNA from 1 species
CCCUUAGAUGUUCUGGGCCGCACGCGCGCUACACUGAUGCAUUCAACGAGUCUAAAACCUGGUCUGAUAGGGCUGGGUAAUCUUUUGAAAGUGCAUCGUGAUUGGGAUAGAUGAUUGCAAUUCUUCAUCUUCAACGAGGAAUGCCUAGUAAACGCAAGUCAUCAGCUUGCAUUGAUUACGUCCCUGCCCUUUGUACACACCGCCCGUCGCUCCUACCGAUUGAAUGAUCCGAUGAAUACCAUGGAUUGAGAGUACGAAUGGGUUCGCUCAUUUCCGCUGCUCGAGAAGUGGAGUAAAUCUUAUCAUUUAGAGGAAGGAGAAGUCGUAACA